GCCUGGGUGGCUCAGUCGGUUGAGCAUCCGACUUCGGCUCAGGUCAUGAUCUCACAGUCUGUGAGUUCGAGCCCCACAUCAGGCU
rnacentral:tRNA from 1 species